UUACCAGGCCUUGACAUGCAGAGAACUUUCCAGAGAUGGAUUGGUGCCUUCGGGAACUCUGACACAGGUGCUGCAUGGCUGUCGUCAGGCUCGUGUCGUGAGAUCGUUGGGUUAAGUCCCGUAACGAGCGCAACCCUUGUCCUUAGUUACCAGCACGUUAUGGUGGGCACUCUAAGGAGACUGCCGGUGGACAAACCGGAGGAAGGUGGGGAUGACGUCAAGUCAUCAUGGCCCUUACGGCCUGGGCUACACACGUGCUACAAUGGUCGGUACAAAGGGUUGCCAAGCCGCGAGGUGGAGACUAAUCCCAUAAAACCGAUCGUAGUCCGGAUCGCAGUCUGCAACUCGACUGCGUGAAGUCGGAAUCGCUAGUAAUCGUGAAUCAGAAUGUCACGGUGAAUACGUUCCCGGGCCUU
rnacentral:rRNA from 1 species